ensembl:rRNA 5S_rRNA 5S ribosomal RNA
GUCUAUGGCCAUACCAGCCUGAACGCACCCGAUCUCAUCGGAUCUCGGAAGCUAAGCAAGGUCGGGUCUGGUUAGUACUUGGAUGGGAGACCGCCUGGGAAUACCAGGUGCUGUAGGCU